AGCAUAUCAAUAAGCGGAGGAAAAGAAACCAACAGGGAUUGCCCCAGUAACGGCGAGUGAAGCGGCAGCAGCUCAAAUUUGAAAUCUGGGGUCCCCGACCUCCGAGUUGUAAUUUGGAGAGGCAUCUUCGGGGGGGAGCGCCGGCCCAUGUUCCUUGGGACAGGACGUCACAGAGGGUGAGAAUCCCGUGCCUGGCCGGCUGCCUCCUCCCGCGUGAAGCGCCUUCGACGAGUCGAGUUGUUUGGGAAUGCAGCUCCAAGUGGGUGGUAAAUUUCAUCUAAAGCUAAAUACCGGCGGGAGACCGAUAGCGCACAAGUAGAGUGAUCGAAAGAUGAAAAGCACUUUGAAAAUAGAGUCAAAAAGUACGUGAAAUUGUUGAAAGGGAAGCGCUUGAGACCAGACUCGGGCCCGGGCAAACAUCGCGCCCCUCGGGGCCGUGCAAUUGCCCGGGCCUGGGCCAGCAUCAGUUGGCGUGGCGGGACAAAGGCGCGGGGAAUGUGGCUCCCCUCGGGGAGUGUUAUUAGGCCCGCGCUCAAUGCCGCCGACGCCGACUGAGGACCGCGCCUCGGCUAGGAUGCUGGCUUAAUGGCCUUCAGCGACCCGUCUUGAAACACGGACCAAGGAGUCUAACAUCUAUGCGAGUGUUUGGGCGACAAACCCUUGCGCGGAAUGAAAGUGAGCGGAGGUGGGAACCCCCCCGCGGGGCGCACCAUCGACCGAUCCUGAUGUCUUCGGAUGGAUUUGAGUAGGAGCAUAGCUGUUGGGACCCGAAAGAUGGUGAACUAUGCCUGAAUAGGGUGAAGCCAGAGGAAACUCUGGUGGAGGCUCGCAGCGGUUCUGACGUGCAAAUCGAUCGUCAAAUUUGGGUAUAGGGGCGAAAGACUAAUCGAACCAU
rnacentral:rRNA from 1 species